GACGGGGGGUCCUAGCGUUGUUCGGAAUUAUUGGGCGUAAAGCGUGCGUAGGUGGCUAUGUAAGUCAGGCGUGAAAGCCCUGGGCUCAACCCAGGAAGUGCUUUUGAUACUGCAUAGCUUGAAUGUGGGAGAGGAUAGUGGAAUUCCAGGUGUAGUGGUGAAAUACGUAGAUAUCUGGAGGAACACCGGUGGCGAAGGCGGCUAUCUGGCCCAACACUGACACUCAGGUGCGACAGCGUGGGGAGCAAACAGG
rnacentral:rRNA from 1 species